rnacentral:rRNA from 1 species
UGGGGAAUAUUGGACAAUGGGCGAAAGCCUGAUCCAGCCAUGCCGCGUGUGUGAAGAAGGUCUUCGGAUUGUAAAGCACUUUAAGUUGGGAGGAAGGGCAUUAACCUAAUACGUUAGUGUUUUUACGUUACCGACAGAAUAAGCACCGGCUAACUCUGUGCCAGCAGCAGCGGUAAUACAGAGGGUGCAAGCGUUAAUCGGAAUUACUGGGCGUAAAGCGCGCGUAGGUGGUUUGUUAAGUUGGAUGUGAAAUCCCCGGGCUCAACCUGGGAACUGCAUUCAAAACUGACUGACUAGAGUAUGGUAGAGGGUGGUGGAAUUUCCUGUGUAGCGGUGAAAUGCGUAGAUAUAGGAAGGAACACCAGUGGCGAAGGCGACCACCUGGACUAAUACUGACACUGAGGUGCGAAAGCGUGGGGAGCAAACA